UACCAGCUCUCCGAGUGGUAGGGAUGAUUAUUGGGCUUAAAGCGUCCGUAGCCGGCUUAGCAAGUCUCCUGUUAAAUUCAGCGACCUAAUCGUUGAGCCGCGGGAGAUACUAUUAGGCUAGGAGGCGGGAGAGGUCAACGGUACUUCUGGGGUAGGGGUGAAAUCCUAUAAUCCCAGGAGGACCACCAGUGGCGAAGGCUGUUGACUAGAACGCGCUCGACGGUGAGGGACGAAAGCUGGGGGAGCGAACCGGAUUAGAUACCCGGGUAGUCCCAGCUGUAAACGAUGCGGGCUAGGUGUUGGGGUGGCUACGUGCCACUUCAGUGCCGCAGGGAAGCCAUUAAGCCCGCCGCCUGGGGAGUACGGCCGCAAGGCUGAAACUUAAAGGAAUUGGCGGGGGAGCACCACAAGGGGUGAAGCUUGCGGUUU
rnacentral:rRNA from 1 species